AUACUUACGUGGCAGGGGAGAUACCAUGAUCACAAAGGUGGUUUUCCCAGGUAAAGGCUUAGCCAUUGCACUCUGGGAUAUGCUGACCCCUGCAGUUCCCCAAACGCGGAAACUCGACUGCAUAAUUUGUGGUAGUGGGGGACUGCAUUCGCUGUCUCUCC
rnacentral:snRNA from 1 species